rnacentral:rRNA from 1 species
CGGACGGGUGAGUAACGCGUGGGUAACCUACCCUGUACACACGGAUAACAUACCGAAAGGUAUGCUAAUACAGGAUAAUAUAUUUGAGAGGGCAUCUCUUGAAUAUCAAAGGUGAGCCAGUACAGGAUGGACCCGCGUCUGAUUAGCUAGUUGGUAAGGUAACGGCUUACCAAGGCGACGAUCAGUAGCCGACCUGAGAGGGUGAUCGGCCACAUUGGAACUGAGACACGGUCCAA